rnacentral:lncRNA from 1 species
CUUACACUAAUCAACAGCAACAAUAAUAAUAACCACCUUUCUAGGAUGCAAAUUAUGUUCCAAGAACUUUCAUUAUUUCAUUACAUCUGCAUAGCCCCAAGAGUAAAUAAUAUCCUGUUCUAUUGAAGAAGAAACUGAGGUCCCAAGACAUGAAAUUACUUGCUCAAGGUCACACACUGCCCUCAACUCUGUGAUGUCAAAAUUCC